GACGAACGCUGGCGGCGUGCUUAACACAUGCAAGUCGAACGGAAAGGCCCUGCUUUUGUGGGGUGCUCGAGUGGCGAACGGGUGAGUAACACGUGAGUAACCUGCCCUUGACUUUGGGAUAACUUCAGGAAACUGGGGCUAAUACCGGAUAGGAGCUCCUGCUGCAUGGUGGGGGUUGGAAAGUUUCGGCGGUUGGUGAUGGACUCGCGGCUUAUCAGCUUGUUGGUGGGGUAGUGGCUUACCAAGGCUUUGACGGGUAGCCGGCCUGAGAGGGUGACCGGCCACAUUGGGACUGAGAUACGGCCCAGACUCCUACGGGAGGCAGCAGUGGGGAAUAUUGCACAAUGGGCGGAAGCCUGAUGCAGCAACGCCGCGUGCGGGAUGACGGCCCUCGGGUUGUAAACCGCUUUCGCCUGUGACGAAGCGUGAGUGACGGUAAUGGGUAAAGAAGCACCGGCUAACUACGUG
rnacentral:rRNA from 1 species